rnacentral:snRNA from 1 species
UCUUAUCAGUUUAAUAUCUCAUAUGUCUUCUCCUACCCGCGAACCAUAUAUUAAAUCGAUUUUUGGAACAAGGAGGUGGAAUAGGAGCUUACUCCAUUUACUCCACGCAUCAAUCCAGUAUUGCAGUAUUUCUGGGUCUGGUAC